GAGAAUGCGUUGUAACGGACAACAACUCAGUCUGCGCAACUGAAGAUUCGAGGGUUCAAAUCCCUCCGUUCUCG
rnacentral:tRNA from 1 species